rnacentral:misc_RNA from 1 species
GCCAAGGUAUCCACCGAUAUACCCNUUNAANANUUANCCAUACAACCCUAAAUAGCUUCGUCGUUUGNUUCCUUCUCUUCGCCUUUGUUCUNCCUCUAUCAAACUAGGNUUGAUGUGAGAAAUAACAAGUUGCGCUAUCACCUCUUUAUUAACCNUGAGUAGUUAAUACGCUGGUAAUAACAUCGCCUGUAGAUGUUCANCUACGUGUCCGCCNUUUGAAAUCGGACCUAGGACUUGUUGUAUGCNUGAUUUACUAAUCGACAUGCAUUAUNAAGAACGUUUGCGACAACGCCUNAACCGGUUUANGCAUGCNUUUGAAUCGUCAGAUAGAGUAGCNACUUGAAAAAACACCUUUCG